AACGAACGCUGGCGGCGUGCCUAACACAUGCAGGUCGAGCGAGAAAGUCCCCGCAAGGGGAUGAGUACAGCGGCGAACGGGUGAGUAACACGUGGGCAACCUGCCCUUCAGUCAGGAAUAACCCCGCGAAAGCGGGGCUAAUACCAGAUGACGUCCCUCGGGGGCAUCUUCGGGGGACCAAAGGGGGCGAGCGUAAGCGGCUCCCGCUGAUGGAUGGGCCUGCGGCUGAUUAGCUAGUUGGUGGGGUGACGGCCUACCAAGGCGACGAUCAGUAGCCGACCUGAGAGGGUGACCGGCCACACUGGGACUGAGACACGGCCCAGACUCCUACGGGAGGCAGCAGUGGGGAAUAUUGCGCAAUGGGCGAAAGCCUGACGCAGCGACGCCGUGUGGGUGAUGAAGGCCUUCGGGUCGUAAAACCCUGUCGGGUGGAACGAAUCCCCCGCGGGUAAAUAAUCCGUGGGGUUGACGGUACCACCGAAGGAAGCCCCGGCUAACUACGUGCCAGCCGCCGCAGUAAAAC
rnacentral:rRNA from 1 species